rnacentral:rRNA from 1 species
UUAAAUUGAAGAGUUUGAUCAUGGCUCAGAUUGAACGCUGGCGGCAGGCCUAACACAUGCAAGUCGAACGGUAACAGGAAGCAGCUUGCUGUUUUGCUGACGAGUGGCGGACGGGUGAGUAAUGUCUGGGAAACUGCCUGAUGGAGGGGGAUAACUACUGGAAACGGUAGCUAAUACCGCAUAACGUCGCAAGACCAAAGAGGGGGACCUUAGGGCCUCUUGCCAUCGGAUGUGCCCAGAUGGGAUUAGCUAGUAGGUGGGGUAACGGCUCACCUAGGC